rnacentral:rRNA from 1 species
GAUGAACGCUGGCGGCGUGCCUAAUACAUGCAAGUCGAGCGAACAGAUGAGGAGCUUGCUCCUCUGACGUUAGCGGCGGACGGGUGAGUAACACGUGGAUAACCUACCUAUAAGACUGGGAUAACUUCGGGAAACCGGAGCUAAUACCGGAUAAUAUAUUGAACCGCAUGGUUCAAUAGUGAAAGACGGUUUUGCUGUCACUUAUAGAUGGAUCCGCGCCGCAUUAGCUAGUUGGUAAGGUAACGGCUUACCAAGGCAACGAUGCGUAGCCGACCUGAGAGGGUGAUCGGCCACACUGGAACUGAGACACGGUCCAGACUCCUACGGGAGGCAGCAGUAGGGAAUCUUCCGCAAGGGGCGAAAGCCUGACGGAGCAACGCCGCGUGAGUGAUGAAGGUCUGCGGAUCGUAAAACUCUGUUAUUAGGGAAGAACAAAUGUGUAAGUAACGAUGCACGUCUUGACGGUACCUAAUCAGAAAGCCACGGCUAACUACGU